rnacentral:rRNA from 1 species
CUACGGGAGGCAGCAGUGGGGAAUAUUGGACAAUGGGCGAAAGCCUGAUCCAGCCAUGCCGCGUGAGUGAUGAAGGCUCUAGGGUUGUAAAGCUCUUUCACCGGUGAAGAUAAUGACGGUAACCGGAGAAGAAGCCCCGGCUAACUUCGUGCCAGCAGCCGCGGUAAUACGAAGGGGGCUAGCGUUGUUCGGAAUCACUGGGCGUAAAGCGCACGUAGGCGGAUCUUUAAGUCAGGGGUGAAAUCCCGGGGCUCAACCUCGGAACUGCCUUUGAUACUGGGGAUCUCGAGUUCGGGAGAGGUGAGUGGAACUGCGAGUGUAGAGGUGAAAUUCGUAGAUAUUAGGAAGAACACCAGUGGCGAAGGCGGCUCACUGGUCCGGUUCUGACGCUGAGGCGCGAAAGCGUGGGGAGCAAACAGGAUUAGAAACCCCGGUAGUCC